UACGUAGGGCGCGAGCGUUAAUCGGAAUCACUGGGCGUAAAGGGUACGCAGGCGGCGCAUUAAGAUAGGUGUGAAAUCCCCGGGCUCAACCUGGGAACUGCACUUAUGACUGAUGUGCUGGAGUGCGGCAGAGGGGGGUGGAAUUCCAAGUGUAGCAGUGAAAUGCGUAGAUAUUUGGAAGAACACCGAUGGCGAAGGCAGCCCCCUGGGCCGUAACUGACGCUCAUGUACGAAAGCGUGGGGAGCAAAC
rnacentral:rRNA from 1 species